rnacentral:rRNA from 1 species
UACGGAGGGUGCAAACGUUGCUCGGAAUCAUUGGGCGUAAAGCGCGUGUAGGCGGCAUGUUAAGUCGUGUGUGAAAGCCCCGGGCUCAACCUGGGAAGUGCGCACGAAACUGGCAAGCUAGAGUACGGGAGAGGGUAGUGGAAUUCCCGGUGUAGAGGUGAAAUUCGUAGAUAUCGGGAGGAACACCAGUGGCGAAGGCGGCUACCUGGACCGAUACUGACGCUGAGACGCGAAAGCGUGGGGAGCAAACAGG